UACGUAGGUGGCAAGCGUUGUCCGGAAUUAUUGGGCGUAAAGCGCGCGCAGGCGGUCCUUUAAGUCUGAUGUGAAAGCCCUCGGCUCAACCGAGGAGGGUCAUUGGAAACUGGAGGACUUGAGUGCAGAAGAGGAAAGUGGAAUUCCAAGUGUAGCGGUGAAAUGCGUUGAGAUUUGGAGGAACACCAGUGGCGAAGGCGACUUUCUGGUCUGUAACUGACGCUGAGGCGCGAAAGCGUGGGGAGCAAACAGG
rnacentral:rRNA from 1 species